rnacentral:lncRNA from 10 species
AUAAAAAUCAAGAUGAUCAGGGCGGUGCAGAGCCAAGGACACACAAGCCACGCUGCCCCACAGGGUCUGAAGGAGUCGCCUGCUUUCCAGUGUUGUCUCUCCUCCUGCUGAAUGUCAGGAGCCCACUGACAACAGAGACUCGAGGUGAGUUUGGUAGGACACGCAUAUGAUCUGUACAUGGCGAGAGCGAGGCCUAAUCCAUGCACAAGUGGCUCAUGUUUGUAUACUUUGCCUACCUUGAAGAUGUGUUUAAAACUCUACUGCUUUUCUGUACUUCAGAGAGCUUAGGCAACAAGGACAAGACAUCAGAUACACCUUUUUCCAAAAGUGUGCAUACUCUCAUUGUGGUCUAAUUAUAAUAACAAAAAAACAGGAAGCAGCUUGAAUGUCCAAUGCUAGGAGAUGUCUGAUAAAUUAUGAUGUCCCAGUAAGACGGGUCCCAUGUAGCCAGCCACACAAGAACAUGCUCACCUGUGACCUUAACUGAAGAAAGUUGGAUAUAAAAACAUAAAAAAUGAAUAAGGAG